CUGUCAGAGACACACCCAGAAACAAUGUGUUACCAGCUCUCUUGGUGUCCUUUAGCCCUGUCAAGUUGACAAGGAAGUUAACCGGUACAGUGCCCGACAGGUGCCUGGACCUCAUUGCCAACAGGAAACUGAAGCUUUCUGCCAAUAGUCACAUGAAUGAGCCAUCUUGGAAGUGGGCCUUCCGGCCCUCCUUGACAUCUUGACUGCAACCUCAGGAGAGAUUCCGAGACACAGACACCCAGUUAAGCCCCUCCCAAAUCCCUGAUCCACAGAAGAGAUGAUAAAUACAGCUGACUCUUGAACAACUCAGGUGCCAGCCCAGCAUGGAGCCCAAU